rnacentral:rRNA from 1 species
GUAGUCCACGCCGUAAACGAUGAAUACUAGGUGUCGGGGGUCAAACCUCGGUGCCGCAGCAAACGCAUUAAGUAUUCCGCCUGGGGAGUACGCACGCAAGUGUGAAACUCAAAGGAAUUGACGGGGACCCGCACAAGCAGCGGAGCAUGUGGUUUAAUUCGAAGCAACGCGAAGAACCUUACCAGGUCUUGACAUCCUCCUGAAUGUAGCUUAGCAGUUACAGACCUUCGGGACAGGAGAGACAGGUGGUGCAUGGUUGUCGUCAGCUCGUGUCGUGAGAUGUUGGGUUAAGUCCCGCAACGAGCGCAACCCUUAUGUUUAGUUGUUAACAGGUUAAGCUGAACCCUCUAGACAGACUGCCGAGGAUAACUCGGAGGAAGGCGGGGAUGACGUCAAAUCAUCAUGCCCCUUAUGAUCUGGGCUACACACGUGCUACAAUGGCUGGUACAACGGGCAGCGAAAGAGCGAUCUGGAGCGAAUCCUAAAAAGCCAGUCCCAGUUCGGAUUGUAGGCUGAAACUCGCCUACAUGAAGUUGGAGUUGCUAGUAAUCGCGGAUCAGAAUGCCGCGGUGAAUGCGUUCCCGGGUCUUGUACACACCGCCCGUCACACCAUGGAAGUUGGGGGCGCCCGAAGCCAGUGGUCCAACCCGUAAGGGAGGAAGCUGUCGAAGGUGAAAUCAAUGACUGGGGUG